UACUGUGGGGAGGAAAAAAAAAAAUCCCACCCAACAAUCAAAGACUGUUGUGGCCAUGAUUUUUUGGAUUGUCUACUAUAUAGCUUGGACAAUUCUUCUAAUAGUGGGCUCCAGGGAACCAUCUUUGGGCUUUAUCUCACUUACUCAGCUUCUACUUGAGACUACUGUGCAUUCUAAGCUUUCCCACAGGAUCUAGAUUCUUCGCCUGCAAAACAUGUGCUUUUGCUUCUGCACCAAAAUCAAUCACAGAUCUGGGGCCCCUGAGAGGGAUGGAGGAUCAAUACAACAGAAACACACCAGUGAAUGUGCCGAGAAGUCUUCCUAGGAGAUUCUUCAAGAAGUAAAGUUUAAAGAGUGCUGUUUCCCAGCAUAGUCACAAAUAAAAUAGGUAAUGGCCAUCACUAAGGCAGGGUUGUUGUGGUUGCACUUGACUUGAAAAUACAGCU